rnacentral:rRNA from 1 species
GAUGAACGCUGGCGGCGUGCUUAAUACAUGCAAGUCGAGCGAACAGACGCUGAUUUUGCUCCGUUCUCGUUAGCGGCGGGCGGGAGAGUAACACGUGUAUCCUCUCCUUAUAAUUCGGGUAUCAUCUCGGAAAACGGGCUCAUAUACCAUAGAAGCUCUUGAACCGCAUGGUUGAAUAGUGAAAUACGGUGUUUGUGGAUAGUAUAGAUGGUUCCCCGCCUGAUUAGCUAGUUGGUGAGUUCACGGCUUAUGAAGGGGAGGAUGCGUGGGCGAGUUGAGAGGCUGAUCGGCGACAUGGGAACGUAGACACGGUCAAGACUCCUACGAGAGGCAGCAGUAGGGAAUCUUCCGCAAUGGGCGAAAACAUGACGGAGCAACGCCGCGUGAGUGAUGAAGGUCUUCGGAUCGUAAAACUCUGUUAUUAGGGAAGAACAAAUGUGUAAGUAACUAUGCACGUAUUGACGGUAACUAAUCAGAAAGCAACGGCUAACUACGUG